rnacentral:rRNA from 1 species
UACAGAGGUCCCAAGCGUUGUUCGGAUUCAUUGGGCGUAAAGGGUGCGUAGGCGGCGCGGUAAGUCGGGUGUGAAAUCUCGGAGCUUAACUCCGAAACUGCAUUCGAUACUGCCGUGCUUGAGGACUGGAGAGGAGACUGGAAUUUACGGGUGUAGCGGUGAAAUGCGUAGAUAUCGUAAGGAAGACCAGUGGCGAAGGCGGGUCUCUGGACAGUUCCUGACGCUGAGGCACGAAGGCCAGGGGAGCAAACGGG